rnacentral:lncRNA from 1 species
UCAUGGUCAACAGCCAAAUAUAGUAACCUUCUCAAUUAUGAUUGAUGGCUUGUGUAGACAGGGGAAUCUCGAUGAGGCACUCACCCUAUUGAAAGCAAUGGAGAAAAGUGAGUUGAAGCCUAAUUUUGUGAUCUAUAGCAGUCUGAUCAAUGGUAUGUGCAAAGUUGGGAAGAUUAAUGAUGCCAAGGAACUUUUUUAUAGUCUUUUUGAAAUUGGUUUACAACCUGAUGUUUAUGUAUAUAAUGCAAUUAUGAAAGGACUCUGCCAACAAGGAUUAACGGAUGAAGCUUAUAAGGUAUUUAAAGACAUGGAAAAGGUAGGAUGUUUACCAAAUAAUUGUUGUUAUAAUAUCAUCAUUCAAGGGUUUCUCAGGCAUGAGGAUUUACCAAAAGCAUCAGAAUUAAUCAAUGAAAUGGUUGAUAAGGGGUUCUCUUCUAAUGAUGCUACCACAGAAUUGGUAGUACAUUUAUCGCGGAAUAAUGAUCUCAUUCUGAGGCUUUUAAAGGUGCGCAAUGAGGGAUCAACAAACUAAAGUUGUUAUAUCUUGACCAUUCAAGUGUGUCUUGGAGCACAACUUGGUAAUUACCUUUUUCAAAUAUAAUAGAUAUGUAAUUUAACUAAUUUCUUCAAAUAUCAUUUUUAAUUUCAAUCAGCUGUGAUUCUCUUCUACAAAAUGAAAUUUUCUAACACCGCAAAUGACCUGUCAUGGUUUACCACGAGCAGACUCGCGAAUAAACUCGUAAAUAGUUUCGUUAAGCAGGCUGAAAUUAAUAAUAUAAGAGAAAUAAAUUCAAAUCUUACAUAUACUUUUAUGAGUCAAAUUUAAAUUUUAUAAAGUUCAAUUUAAUAUUGUGUAAUUAGACUAUUAAAACUUGCAUAUAUUUGGAUCGUUAAGAGUUCAUCUUUAUAAGUUUAAGAGCUAAUUUGUAUAUGUGAAGGUCAGCUGUUUGCUUGAUGUGGGACGUCCCUCUCAUCGGCAGAGUACGAAAAAUCAAAAUUGUAUAUAAUAGUUAAUUACGAAACUACUAAAUAACUUGGAUUAACUAUUUUGGGCCAAGUGGAAAGUAGGUCAAAAGUUAUUUGGGUUAGUUUGGGCCGGAUUGUUAUGCUUACUUAAUGUAGGAAGACGUCCCACAUCGACGGAAAAUGAAACUACAAGUAAAAAGUGGGCACUUUCCAAAAAUUAUUUAGGUGGGUCGAGCCGUUUCAGUAUAUAUACUUAUUUAGUUUUAAACUAAAACUCAUUACACAUAUAAAUAAAUUAAAUUAUUGGUGAAUUAUUUGAGACUAAACUCAAUAAAAACUUGACUAGUCUAAGUUUAUUUGCUAAAAGAGUCAAAUUUGAACUUAUUAAUACUCCACUUAAAAAAAUUUUAACGGACUAAAUUUGAACUCUUCAAAACGAUUAGUUUACACUCUAAGUAAAUUUUAAAAAGUGUUUAAAUUACUAAUAAGCUCUAAAUCCAAAUUACCAAAAAAUUACUAACGGAUUUGAAAAUCCGUUACUAAACUUUAUCAUCAAAUUAAUAAGUAAAAAAAAAAUAUUAAAUUUAUCAACAGAUGCUACCUGCUAGUAAAUCCGUUGAUAAAUUUAAAAUAAAAUCCUACAUAAAAUUCUUUCUUUUUUUUUUUACAACUCACAUUUUUCAGUUACCAACGGAUUUGCUAAUAAAUUUUAGUAACGAAUUACAAAUUUAUUAAUAAUUCGCGUUUAUAAAUAUAACACCAGCUCCUCUGCUUUUAUUAUUCGUUCAUCUUAUCAUCCGCCUUUCUUCCAUUUUUUCCCUUUCUCUCAUUUUCAUUCUUUUUCUUUCUUUCUUUCAUUUCACUUUUUUAUCUCAUAAUUUUUUUUUCUAUUAUUUUUCUUUCAUCUCUUAUCCUAUUUUCUCUAAUUCUCUUUCGUCUUCUAUUACUCUUUUUCAUUUUUCAUUUUCUCCAUUUUCUUUUCCAUCUUUUUAUUUCCUUUCCUCUUAUCUUCUUCAUUUUUUCUAUAAUUUUCAUUCAUAUUAAUUUUUUAAUAUUAUUUUCUCCUAUCAUUUUCUUUCUAUCUAUAUUUUUCUAUUAUUUUAUCUUUAUUUAUUUUCUUCUCUAAUCAUUUGUUCAUUUUUUUUCAUUUUUCUAAUUAUCUUUUUACUCAACUCUCAUUCUUUCUUCUUUUUCAUAAUUUUUAUUUUUCUAUCAUUUUCUUUAUUUUUCUCUUUUUUCUUUCUUUUUUAUUAUUUUCUCUCAUUUUGUACUAUUUGUUUUUUUUUUUAUUUGCACUUUCUAUGUAUUUCUAAUAAAUAUUGAAUAUAAAUUAAAAACUUAAUAACAAUAAUAAUAUAAUUUUAAGUCUUAUUAAAUUAAUAAAAAAUUAUUUAAAUUCUUAAUAAAUUUACUAAUGGAAUGCAAUUCGUUAAUAAUUUACUAACGGAUUUCACAUAUGUUAAUAAAUUAUUUUUCUUUUAUACUAACAGAUUUAAAAUUUGUUAGUAAUUUGGAAUCUGUCGGUAAUAAUAAUGAAAACUCCGUUAAUAAAUCCGCUAGUAUUACUAACGAAUUUGAAAGUCGGUAAAAAUUUACCGUCAAACUUUUUAACAACGGAUCGUAAUCUAUUAGUAAUCAAUUGUUAAUUUAUUUACCAUUGGAUUUUUAUUGAAUUGCCAAUGAAAAAAUCACUGCAUUAUCAAUACAAAUUAAGAAGUUGUUGAUUCAUAUAUUUACAAUAAAAUGUCUUUUAAACUCUUAAGACUUUUGAAGCUAAAAUUGAAAAAACAUUCAUGAUGUUGUAUUUCUCCUUUGGUUGAAAUUGUUAUUCAUGCAAGAUGAUUUUUUCUGUUGUAACACUUUGGAAUGAUGUCUAUUAUUGGAAUGCAUAUGAUUGUUUGACUAAUAUAAAACAGAUAUAAGAAGUAUAUAGUUAAAAAGAUAAUUAUAAUUUUUAGCAAUAAACAUUUAAUAAAAAUAUUAAAUUUUUGAUAAUUUUAUAUUUUUAUGAUUAGAUUCACACAAUAAUUUAAUUUUCUAAUUUAACAUUUAUUAUGUAAUCUUAUAAAUAAAAUGUUUAUAAUUUUAAUUUUUAUGAAAUUUUGUACAUAAAUAUAUUCAUACUUUAAAAAUAUUAUUCUUAUAAUUUAUAAUACAAUAUAAUGUCUAUUAAAUGCAUAGAAAUAAUUUACAUAUUAUAAAUUUACGUUAAUAUUAUUAAUAAUAAAAUAAAAUUUAAAAUGCAAAAUAUAUUUAGUGAGUUUAACAUUUCAAAAUUUUAUUAUUUUGAAAUAAUUUUAUAUAUUAAUUUUUUACUGAUAUUAAUUAAAAUUAUAAUAUUAUUCAAAUAAAAUGUCAAAAUAAAAAUGUGCCAAACAGUUCUCAUGAGAGUNNNNNNNNNNNNNNNNNNNNNNNNNNNNNNNNNNNNNNNNNNNNNNNNNNNNNNNNNNNNNNNNNNNNNNNNNNNNNNNNNNNNNNNNNNNNNNNNNNNNNNNNNNNNNNNNNNNNNNNNNNNNNNNNNNNNNNNNNNNNNNNNNNNNNNNNNNNNNNNNNNNNNNNNNNNNNNNNNNNNNNNNNNNNNNNNNNNNNNNNNNNNNNNNNNNNNNNNNNNNNNNNNNNNNNNNNNNNNNNNNNNNNNNNNNNNNNNNNNNNNNNNNNNNNNNNNNNNNNUUCAAUUAAAUAUAAGGUACGGUUAUAAUAAAAUAUUAUUUUUAUGAAAAUAAAUUUAAUUAAAUCUCUAUAUUUUUAUUAAGAGUCACAUAAAUUCAAUUUAAAAUUUUUAAAAUUUUAAGCUAAUUAAACUAUGUAAUUUUAUUAAAGGCUAAAUAGAUUCUAACUUAAUAUUAUUUUUUAAUAAUAAAAUAUUAUUUUUAUAAUUUAAAACAUUAAAAUUUUAGUAUUUUAAUUAAAAUUAAAAAUUUUAAAAUAUAUAUAAAUAUAAUAAAUAAUUUCUAAAAUUAUAUAAAUAAAGUUUUAUCAUAUAAAAAUUUUUAUUAUUAAAAAAUAAUAUUAUGUUAAAUUAUGAUUUAUUUAAUUUUUGAGUAAUAAUAUAGAGAUUUAAUUUAUCCAAAAUUUUAAAUUAAAAUUAUUUAACUCUUCAAUAACGUGAGACUUAAUUGCAUUUAUAUUUACAAAAUUAUUUAUUAUAAAAUGAUAAAUUUAAUUUGUUAUUAAAUAAUAUUUUUAUAUGAAAAAUUAAUAAAAAAAUUACAAAAUGUGGCGCAUAUAAACAAUUCCUAAUUUCCUUUUGUUAUCCAUGCCACUUUACCAGCUGGCAGAGAGCCUUCCUUUUCCAAUUCUCUAUUUCCUUUCCUCAUUCCAAAUCUCCGAUCCAUCCCUAAAAACAACUGACGAGAGAUCGAUGAUGAUGAAGAUGCCUUGGAGGAGGAAGAGUAGGAGCUUACAUGUUCAACUACAAGGGGCAAUUGGUACCACUCAAUCUCCAUUCCUAUUCUUGUUUACCAAUUAUUGCCAUUCUUCUACUUCCACACUUGAAGAUGCACGCUUCUUGACAAAUAACUUCAAAUCUGCUUCUUUUACCCACCUUGAUGAUGCCAUUGCUUCCUUCAAUCAUGUAAUUCAUAAGCAUCCUCUGCCUUCUAGGGUUCCAUUUAAUAGAUUCUUAUCUGCCCUUGUGAAAAUGAAACAAUAUCACACUGUCCUUUCCAUGUCCAAAACAAUUGAAUUGCUAGGAAUCUCACACAAUCUUUAUUCUCUUAGUAUCUUAAUUAAUUGCUUCUGCCAUUUACACCUUGUGGAUUUUGGCUUCUCUGUUUUUGGUAAGAUGCUCAAAUUCGGAUUGGAGCCUGACGUUGUGACAUUUGCUACCUUAAUUAAUGGGCUUUGUAUAGAGAGUAAAAUCGACAAAGCAGUGGAAUUUUUCGAUGAUAUGGUUGCACGUGGUUAUCAACCUAAUGUUCGUACUUUCAAUGUGAUAGUAAACGGAUUGUGUAAAUUUGGGAAAACAAAUGUGGAAUGGUUUCAGAGGCUCAAAAUACAUUCAAUGUAAUGAUUCAAAGAGGUGUAGAGCCUGGUGUGAUCACAUACACAUCCUUAAUUGAUGGUCUUUGCAUUUCAGACCAAUUCAAGGAAGCUUUGGCCUUGUUGAAAGAAAUGGUAGGGAGGAACAUAUCCCCUGAUGUUUUUACCUUCAAUAUAUUGAUCGACACUCUUUGUAAGAAAGGACUGGUUUCAAAUGCACAAGAUAUAAUCAAAAUAAUGAUUCAAAGAGGUGUGGAACCUACCUUUGUCACUUAUAAUUCAUUGAUGGAUGGAUAUUGUCUAGGCAACCAAAUUGAUAAGGCUAGAAAGCUAUUUGAUCUGAUGGUGACCAAUGAAAUAGCUAACAUUUUUAGUUACAACAUUUUGAUCAAUGGAUAUUGUAAGUGCUAAAUGAUAGAUGAUGCAAAGGAAUUUUUUGAUGAAAUGUCUCAUAAAGGUUUAGUUCCUAGUGGUGUUACUUAUUCUACUCUUAUAAAGGGUAUGUUUCAAGCAGAGAGGCCCCAAACUGCACUAGAGCUCUUUAAGAAUAUGUCCUCUCAUGGUCAGCAGCCAGAUAUAGUAACAUUCUCAAUUAUGAUUGAUGGCUUGUGUAGACAGGGGAAUCUGGAUGAAGCACUCACCCUAUUGAAAGAAAUGGAGGAAAGUCAGUUGAAGCCUGAUCUUGUGACUUAUUGCAUUCUGAUCAAUGGUAUGUGCAAAGCUGGCAAGAUUAAUGAUGCCAAGGAACUAUUUUCUAGUCUUUUUGAAAAUGGUUCACAACCUAAUGUUCAUAUAUAUAGUGCAAUUAUGAAAGGACUCUGCCAAAAAGGAUUAAUAGAUGAAGCAUAUAAGAUUUUUAGAGACAUGGAAAGGGGAGGAUGUUUACCGAAUAAUUGUUGUUAUAAUAUCAUCAUUCAAGGGUUUCUUAGGCAUGAAAAUUUACCAAAAGCAUCAGAACUUAUCAACGAAAUGGUUGAUAAGGGAUUCUCUGCUGAUGCUACCACCACCGAAUUGGUUGUACAUUUAUCGCGCAAUGAUGAUCUCAUUCUAAGAAAACUACGAGAUAGUUUCGAGGCUACUAAAUGCAUAAAUGUUAAGUGAUUUUAACAAUCAACACUUGAUCAGCAGAUGCAAGAGGUCUUCAUUGUAAUGUGAGUUAUUGGUACUUCAAUCUAUUUCCUAUAGUGUUGUUAGUUGCUUUUGCUUUUUACAAGAAACUGUUUAGGGUUAGCACUAAACUCAAGUUUUCAGGUUGUAUAAGCAGAUUAGCUUUGCUGAAUCUGUUCCAAUACUGCAUUGGUCUGCAAUAAGUUGAAAAAAAAAAGAAUCUUAAGACUCCAGUUUUAUGUAUACAAUGAGAGAAAUUGCGCCUGCCCUCUUCUUACGUAUUCCUUUUUUUCCUCUCAUUUUGAAAUUCAUCAUUCUGGUAUAACAAUCUGCACUUAUACCCAGUUUUUCUAAGUGUCAGAUGAUUUAUUGUCAUGUAUGGAAAAUAUCAAAAGGUGAAGAGCAGCAAUUACUUUUCUUAUUUUUGAGUCUUACUCAACCUGAAAGCUUUUGUUUUGCCUUAUUAUUAUACUAUAUGAAGUGAAUUGAGCAGAGUUUUAUUGUAAUUCAAAAUGUGUGUUUCAUAAUUUUUGUUGUCUUCGUGAUUUGCUUGCAAUGAGCAGGAAACAAUAUACGUGUCUUUACUUUAAAGAA